UACGUAGGGGGCAAGCGUUAUCCGGAUUUACUGGGUGUAAAGGGAGCGUAGACGGCAUGGCAAGUCAGAUGUGAAAGCCCGGGGCUCAACCCCGGGACUGCAUUUGAAACCGUCAGGCUGGAGUGCAGGAGAGGUAAGCGGAAUUCCUAGUGUAGCGGUGAAAUGCGUAGAUAUUAGGAGGAACACCAGUGGCGAAGGCGGCUUACUGGACUGUAACUGACGUUGAGGCUCGAAAGCGUGGGGAGCAAACGGG
rnacentral:rRNA from 1 species